rnacentral:rRNA from 1 species
GGUCAAGUGAGGUAAGGGCAUAUGGUGGAUGCCUCGGCACUUGGAGCCGAAGAAGGACGCGGCAAGCGGCGAAACGCUCCGGGGAGCCGCAAGCGGGCGAAGAUCCGGAGGUCUCCGAAUGGGGGAACCCACUCGAGGUAAUACUCGAGUAUCCACUGAUGAACACAUAGUCAGUGGAGGGGAACCGCGCGAACUGAAACAUCUAAGUAGCGCGAGGAAAAGAAAGAAAGGAAUCGAUUCCCUAAGUAGCGGCGAGCGAAAGGGGAAGAGCCCAAACCUGACACGAAAGUGGCAGGGGUUAGGACCCACCGUAGAAGUGAGUGAGUACUCUAGGCGAACGGAUCUGGAAAGGCCGGCCGAAGAAGGUGAAAGCCCUGUAGUCGAAAGGGGAAAGCUUGCUGGUGGGGACCAGAGUACCACGGGAUAGGCGACCCUGUGGGAAGGCGGGAGGACCACCUCCCAAGGCUAAAUACUACCAAGUGACCGAUAGCGGAUAGUACCGUGAGGGAAAGGUGAAAAGAACCCCGGGAGGGGAGUGAAAGAGAACCUGAAACCAUAUGCCUACAAGCAGUCAGAGUCUGCCGUAAGGCAGAUGAUGGCGUACUUUUUGUAGAACGGGCCGGCGAGUUACGGUAGCAAGCGAGGUUAAGCGGUAAGCGGAGCCGAAGCGAAAGCGAGUCCGAAAAGGGCGAAAGUUUGCUGCCGUAGACCCGAAACCGUGCGACCUACCCAUGGCCAGGGUGAAGCCGGAGUAAGAUCUGGUGGAGGCCCGAACCACGUUGGCGUUGAAAAGCCAUGGGAUGAGCUGUGGGUAGAGGUGAAAUGCCAAUCGAGCACGGAGAUAGCUGGUUCUCCCCGAAAUAGCUUUAGGGCUAGCCUCAGGGUAGGACCUAUGGAGGUAGAGCACUGAAUGGGCUAGGGGCCAAGGAGGUUACCGAACCCUAUCAAACUCCGAAUGCCAUAGGUUAAUACCUGGGAGUCAGACUACGAGUGAUAAGAUCCGUAGUCGAGAGGGGAACAGCCCAGACCUCCAGCUAAGGUCCCAAAGGGCAUGUUAAGUGGUAAAGGAAGUGGGACUUCGAAGACAACCAGGAUGUUGGCUUAGAAGCAGCCAUACAUUUAAAGAGUGCGUAACAGCUCACUGGUCGAGAGGUCCUGCGCCGAAAAUGAACGGGGCUCAAACAUGCCACCGAAGCUGGGGCUAAACAGAAGUCAGAUGUGAGAGGUCAGAGGUGAGAAAAUGAUAAAGACGUAUAAGGAUCUCAGAAUAUAUCAACAAUCAUACAAGCUAAGCAUAGAGAUACACAAGCUAACCCAGAACUAUCCUGGGUAUGAAAGAUACGAAUUAGGGAGUCAACUAAGAAGGGCAGCAACAUCAAUACCGUUAAAUAUAGCCGAAGGAUAUGGAAAGAAAGAAUCAGAGGCAGAUUUUAAGAGGUAUUUAAAGAUAGCGCUUGGAUCAAGCAAUGAAAUAGAAGU